rnacentral:rRNA from 1 species
UACGUAGGGGCAAGCGUUGUCCGGAAAUCACUGGGCGUAAAGGGCGCGUAGGUGGCCUGUGGAAGUCUGCGAUGAAAGCCCGGCGCUCAACGCCGGGUCGGCCGUGGAUACUCUCGGGCUUGAGCUUACUAGAGGCAGAUGGAAUUCCGGGUGUAGCGGUGGAAUGCGCAGAUAUCAGGAGGAACACCAAUGGCGAAGGCAGCUCGCUGGGACGGUACUGAGCUGGAGGCGCGAAAAGCGUGGGGGAGC